GUAUGCAUCAGCUAACUUUGAUUUAAAAAAAAAAAAAAAAAAAAAAAAAAAACGGAGCCGGAGGGGGGGGGGGGGGGUUGGGGGGAGUUUACAAAUUACACCGCGAUUAGCCGGGAUCCUUCGGAGGGGGGGGGGGGGGGGGGGAGAGCGAGGGAGGAAGGGGGGCCCGCGGUUAAAGUCACUUCGGCAAAGUUUGCUCGGCGGCAGCCCUCGAAAACACAAAGUUUCUGGGCGAGUUGAGGGCAGGGGCGGUGCGGCUCGCCGUGCGGAGGGCAGCCCCCGGCCGAGGCACCCCGCGCCCGGCAGCCCGGCUCCGCUCCGCGAAGUAACGGUUCGAAAAGAAACGAGCGAGAAAGAGGCAAAACAAUCACCCCCUUCAUUGAUACCGAUCACCCAACAUCACAAGACAUCCCCAUCUCUCAGCGUGGACUCCCCCUAUCUGGGUGAAACUGGAAUGAAAUGGUCCAUCCAAGUCUUACUGAGACUGACAGGCUGGAGACCUGGCUUUGAAGUUUUCUAUGGACAAAAGUGGUUACUUUUGUAUUUCUACUGAAGAAUCUAUGCAUAACCAGAUGAAUUCAAAGGUAAGCCAUCUCUGAAACAACUGGGAAGUAAGUCAAAAACGUGGGCGUUUUCAUCAGACAGUUGAAAACCUGUUCUACACAAGAAGGUGAGAAAGAUCUUCUCUCUCUUGAGCAUUCACCACCACUCCUUCUCACCACUUACCUCCACUCCAAGGAGGAGAAAAAUUGUGAACAGAACUGAAAUUUCCAAGUUAAAAAAAAAAAAAAAAAGCGAUUGGAGAAAAAAAUGGCAAUUGUAAGGGAAGAGAGCCUGAAAACCCAGGUAUUCUCACAUCCUACAAAUAAGCAAUAAUAAAAUCAAUAACGAAGCCACAAAAGGUUGUUCCAGUUUUUCAAUCCUGAUUAGGAAUUAAAGUCCUACAGAAUUCAAACAAGCUACACCUUUUUGAAGAAUUUUUUUAAGUUUGGGGCUCUUUUAUUUUUUUCUUCUUAUGCCAUUUCAUCUUUAUGCUGAAUUUAAGUCGUAACAGAUGCUAUAUGAGUGUCAUUUUAGGAUAUAAAUUACAAACUGAAAGAGCGCUCAAGGAUCACAAGGCAUGAGCAUGUAUGGCCAUGUUGUUUUACACCUCUGUAGCCAGGACUUGUCAUUCUGAAAUCCUACAGAUGUGCUAACAGCUGCAGAGGUGGGUAAGGAGCUGGAGCUGCCUGCGUGCUGGAGCCUUGCCAAGCAAGCAUUGCCCGUAGCGAUGCUGAGGGUCAAAUGGCUGGGACAGGAUGGAUCUCACUUCACAAAGAGUGGUAGCCACUGCAUGGGGUAACCAGCCAUCCUCAUGGAGACAGCUUACGUCCAGCUCUAAGCAUCCACUGCCAAACUGCAUUUGUGAAAAGUGCAGAGAGGGUUUUGUUUUAGUUUGUUUUGUUGGUUGUUGGGUUUUUGUUUU
ensembl:lncRNA